GCCUGACCGGGCACCUGGGCAGGUGGGCACGGCUGGAGUCCCAAAUGGGCACCUGGGCAGGUGGGCAUGGCUGGAGUCCCAAAUGGGCACCUGGGCAGGUGGGCACGGCUGGAGUCCCAAAUGGGCACCUGGGCAGGUGGGCAUGGCCUGAAUCCCAAAUGGGCACCUGGGCAGGUGGGCACGGCUGGAGUCCCAAAUGGGCACCUGGGCAGGUGGGCACGGCUGGAAUCCCAAAUGGGCACCUGGGCAGGUGGG